rnacentral:rRNA from 1 species
CCCGAGGAAAAGAAAUCAACCGAGAUUCCCCCAGUAGCGGCGAGCGAACGGGGAGGAGCCCAGAGCCUGAAUCAGCAUGUGUGUUAGUGGAAGCGUCUGGAAAGGCGCGCGAUACAGGGUGACAGCCCCGUACACAAAAGCGCAUGUGCUGUGAGCUCGAUGAGUAGGGCGGGACACGUGGUAUCCUGUCUGAAUAUGGGGGGACCAUCCUCCAAGGCUAAAUACUCCUGACUGACCGAUAGUGAACCAGUACCGUGAGGGAAAGGCGAAAAGAACCCCGGCGAGGGGAGUGAAAAAGAACCUGAAACCGUGUACGUACAAGCAGUGGGAGCACAGGUUUACCUGUGUGACUGCGUACCUUUUGUAUAAUGGGUCAGCGACUUAUAUUCUGUAGCAAGGUUAACCGUAUAGGGGAGCCGGAGGGAAACCGAGUCUUAACCGGGCGUUAAGUUGCAGGGUAUAGACCCGAAACCCGGUGAUCUAGCCAUGGGCAGGUUGAAGGUUGGGUAACACUAACUGGAGGACCGAACCGACUAAUGUUGAAAAAUUAGCGGAUGACCUGUGGCUGGGGGUGAAAGGCCAAUCAAACCGGGAGAUAGCUGGUUCUCCCCGAAAGCUAUUUAGGUAGCGCCUCGUGAAUUCAUCUCCGGGGGUAGAGCACUGUUUCGGCUAGGGGGCCAUCCCGGCUUACCAACCCGAUGCAAACUGCGAAUACCGGAGAAUGUUAUCACGGGAGACACACGGCGGGUGCUAACGUCCGUCG